GCCAGUUGUGUCUGUAGGGACACCCGACCAAGCCGGAGGUCGUUAGUUUGGAGUGACCGGAAUAGUCACGGUGAUGUCAUCAGUGUGAGUCAACAGCUCGGCGAGUUUUGGAGCGGCACCCGUUCCAUCGACAACAUGGCUGGUCCGGAG